rnacentral:rRNA from 1 species
UGCAGUCGCACGAGAACGCUUCAGCUUGCUGAAGUUAGUAAAGUGGCGCACGGGUGAGUAACGCGUGGGUAAUCUACCCUUGAAUUGGGGAUAACCCGCCGAAAGGCGGACUAAUACCGGAUGAUAUCUUGAAUAUUUAGGUAUUCAUGAUCAAAGAUGGCCUCUACAUGUAAGCUAUUGUUUGGGGAUGAGCCCGCGUACCAUUAGCUUGUUGGUAGGGUAAUGGCCUACCAAGGCUACGAUGGUUAGCUGGUCUUAGAGGAUGAUCAGCCACACUGGAACUGACACACGGUCCAGACUCCUACGGGAGGCAGCAGUGAGGAAUUUUGCGCAAUGGGGGAAACCCUGACGCAGCAACGCCGCGUGAGUGAUGAAGGCUUUCGGGUCGUAAAGCUCUGUCAAGUGGGAAGAAUCCAUAUGGCGAUAAUACCGCCUUAUGCUGACGGUACCACUGAAGGAAGCACCGGCUAACUCCGUG